GAAAACAAGGUCACCAACCUUAUACUCACUGUCCCUAGAGUGUUGGUCUGCGAUGCUUUUCUGUCGGUCUUGUGCUGCCUUUAGGCCACACUUUGGCUGGUUUCUGGGCUACCUUUAAAUGCUCAUAUCUUCUACGAUUGGUACCUUGCACGAUGGCUAACUCACUGCGGUUUGGCCGGAAAAUGCCUCGAAAUUUGACUGUUCGUGGGAAAACUGUUAACUCGUCGAAAUUUCUAGGUAAACUUUAAACGUCUAUAACUUUGUUAAUACUCAACGAAAUUGAGUGAUUCAAAAGCCAAAAUAUAGUUAGGAAUGUGGAAAAGAGAUUCAUACCAAGUAAGGACUGAUUAGUGGACGGAGUUGGCUCGAAAAUUUCCUGAAAGAUGGCCAAACAACCACAGCCUGGAAAUUUCCAUAUUUGCACAUUGACUUUCCUUGACCUUUUCCGAGUUCCUACACCACCAAAACCACCCAAAAACUUACUAACUAUGAACCUAGACAUGAUCUACAAUGAGAGGGACCAAUUUCGAGGCUUACCUUUGUCGGAAAUGGUGAGAAAUCGCCGAAGAAGUUCCUUGAACAGUGCAGCUCUGGGGUAAGUUUUUGAAUGGUUUUUCUUUUAU
rnacentral:lncRNA from 1 species